rnacentral:misc_RNA from 1 species
UUUCCUCUCAGACUCAAAGUCCUUUGACAACCAAACCAUCUCUUCCAAAACAUGAUCCCGGUGAGUUUUAGGAAGGCGAGGUUCUCUACAAGCUUCAAGUGCCCUUUUCCUUUUUCUCUGCAUGCUUUCCUUGGAGCUGAAUUCCAUCAUUUCUGUUAAUUGUGCAACUUCCUCUGAAUUUGCUCUUUCCGGAUCAGAUUUAGCCUUCGUUGUAGAUGUGGCGGAGAGCAUCGGUGAUCAUCAUAGCUGUGGUUGAUGCCGCGAAAUCGAAAGACGUAUGGUGUUGAUGAAGGAGGUGAAAGGAGAGUGGUGAAGUUUUGGUUGUUUCGCACGGCUGUUGGGAAAUCAAAUCGAACUGAAAAAACCUGCCAAAUCAAUAGGAUCAUAGAAAAUUGGAG